AAGUCGUAACAAGGUUUCCGUAGGUGAACCUGCGGAAGGAUCAUUAACACGUAUCCAACGUUAAAACAACCCUGUGAACCUUCAUCUUGCUCGCGUGGCUCCAUAAAAAAGCAGCAAUCCCUGGUAAAUCAUUGUCGACCAGAUUUUGAGUCAGGGACCUCUGCCGAUGAGAGUUACGCUCGUAGCGACGCAAGCGACCUGGCACAACAACUGUUAACAAUGGAUAUCUUGGUUCUC
rnacentral:misc_RNA from 1 species